GGGCGAGCGGCUGUGUGGAUGUCGGCGAAGCCGCGGGCGAGAUCACCUCUUAGGCAGAGCAGUGGGCGCAGAUGCCAUGGCGGGAAGCAGGCCUUUCUGAAUUCUUAGCAGCGAUCUCCAGGGGCACUCUAACCUUGCAAGAAAGAGGCUGCCAGUCUUGCAUCAGAUGCAGAAACCAGGGCGCAGAGUAGCCUGCCCCUCCUGUGACUUCCCCGUCUCGGGAAAUGGCACCAUCAUCAUCUACCUGGUGGCUCCGGCCAGAAAACAGGGAGGCAUCUUUGGAUCAUCUCACCCUCACCACCCA
rnacentral:lncRNA from 1 species